GGGACCAGAGACUGGACCCUCUGGAUCUCACAGAUAAAAUGAACCAAUCUCCUUCCAAGCUGAUGAGCUGGAUAAGGCUUUACAGAUGGAAGAGUGAACAACAUCAAGUCCAAGAUCAGGCCACCAUGUCUGGGCUCUGGCAAGGGCUCCCUCUUUGGCUUACAGGUGGUAGCCUCCUCACAGGCCAGAGUAAGAGCUCUGUGUCUCCUCUUCUUGCAAGGCUCCAUCUCUGCCAGGUAUUCCUGACGACAGAUCUAACCCCAUCCUUUUCCUGAAAUAUUACCAUGCUUCGUAUCCUCGGAAACGCCCUUUGUUAAGUAGAAACGCCUCCUAAGAAACAGGCGAAGCUGACGGAAUAUAAAGGUCUAUUACUAACCACAGU